GGGGUUGUGACUCAGUGGUAGAGUGCUUGCCUAGCAUGCAUGAGGCACUGGGUUCGAUCCUCAGCACCACA
rnacentral:tRNA from 1 species